rnacentral:rRNA from 1 species
AGUGAACGCUGGCGGUAGGCCUAACACAUGCAAGUCGAACGGCAGCCCAUUAAGAGCUUGCUCUUACGGGUGGCGAGUGGCGGACGGGUGUGGAAUACAUCGGACUCUACUUUUUCGUGGGGGCUAACGUAGGGAAACUUACGCUAAUCCCGCAUACGACCUACGGGUGAAAGCAGGGGAUCUUCGGACCUUGCGCGAUUGAAUGAGCCGAUGUCGGAUUAGCUAGUUGGCGGGGUAAAGGCCCACCAAGGCGACGAUCCGUAGCGGGUCGGCGAGGAUGAUCAGCCACACUGGAACUGAGACACGGUCCAGACUCCUACGGGAGGAAGCAGUGGGGAAUAUUGGACAAAGGGCGCAAGCCUGAGCCAGCCAUACCGCGUGGGGGAAGAAGGCCUUCGGUUGGUAAAGCCCUUUUGUUGGGAAAGAAAAGCAGCAGGUGAAUACCCCGAUGGACUGACGGUACCCAAAGAAUAAGCACCGGCUAACUUCGUG